rnacentral:lncRNA from 1 species
UGUUUUUCAAUAAAAUCGAGUGUUGCUUAAAUCUCGAAGAUUUCAAUCGAGUUUUAUUUUCAGAUUUGUUUCGGAUUUGAGCGUGGACUUGAUUGUUUUCUGAAUAAAUCAGAUCUUUUGAAAUCAAAGGUCCGAUUGUGUUUUUCUGUCUCGCCUUUUGGCGUGUGUUGAUUAGUACCCAAUUUUUGGGUGUUAUAUUUGUGGUUUGUUAUGUCUUCCUGCGUUAUCAAUGAGAAUGAUUGGGAUGGAGUUUUGGGAGAUCUGGUUUAUCGCAUCAUUAAUACUUUC